CUCUUUUUUCUUGUAUAAAUUAUUUAAAUAUUUAAAAUUAUAAUUUUCGAAAUUUGGAGCCCCCCCCCCCCCCCCCCCCCCUCAAACCAAAGGGCACNNNNNNNNNNNNNNNNNNNNNNNNNNNNNNNNNNNNNNNNNNNNNNNNNNNNNNNNNNNNNNNNNNNNNNNNNNNNNNNNNNNNNNNNNNNNNNNNNNNNNNNNNNNCCGCCCCCCCCCCCCCCCCACGCAUUAGCAAGUGAAGGAGCUAAUGUGUUGGAGAGUCUCAUCAAUGUUUGUAUCGAAUAAAUUAAAGAUAGAAAAAAUAUGAAUUUUUUUUAUUAGGUAUAUCGGACUCUUCUUUUAUAUUAGAUAAUUGUAAUUGUAAUAUUAUUAAUACCUCUCCUCUCCCUAUUAGUAGACACCCAGCGUUAUCACUACUAUGUAAUGCUCAUAUUAAGUAAUUAAUAUAAUAUCUUGUUAACCAAAAAUAAUAAUAAUGGAACAAAUUGGGUGUUGAGGAACAAAAACAACCUAGAAUUAAAUAAUUUAAGAAUAAGUGUAUAUCACAAGGUAGUGAAAUUAUAAUAUAUAUAUCGCAGAUUCUUCAUCUUCCUUCAUUGUAAAACGUAAAGUUUGCAUUCCAUGAAAUAGUUCACUAGGUUUUAGUACCAUUUACAGUGGUUAUCGACAAUCGAAAGAGGAGAGGAGAGGAGAGGAGAGAGCAUGCCCUCGAGGAAAUAUUAUUCUCUUAUUCUACAUUCCCUAUUUACUUAAUUGGCGAUGUUUUAAAUUCUAUUCAGGAAAAUAUUUUUCAUCAGUAAUUUUUAUAAAUAUAUUUUUUUUCAUACCAAACACGCCUUUUUAAGUUUUGUUCUAAAUUAUCUAUUAGUAGCUAUAAGUGUUAAAAUCUAAUGCGCGUAAAUGAUCAUCUUGGUCAUUAUUUAUCCUUAAUAAAUAUUGAGAGAGAGAUUAAUCUGAUAGACAAGAACAAAGUAUUAAAUUGAGAUCAAGAUUAAAUAAAGAUAACAACAAUAACAUACUCAGUACAAUCUCAUAAUAUAAGAUCUUAGGAGGAUAAAAUGUACUUGGACCUUACAUCAAGUUACACUUUAUAAUUUAUAAUACCUUAUUAUGAAGCAUGAAAAAAAACAUGACACAUAAAUAGACCGGAUAGAGUAUCCCUAUGACGAUAGUAUUAACACAUGGUGUAGUGCUAAGUACUCUUUCAUCCUUAACCAAACAUGUUGGGUUCGAGUCCCCCGAGUACGAAAUCUCCUUUGUUAGAGAGUGUUUUACCCCAAUGUAGGACUUCAAUUUCCGGCGCAGAUCUGAAUAUAGUCGAACUUCAAUAUCGAACACCAGAUAGGAAAUUAAACCAGGAAAAAAGAAACAUGUUUAUUCAUCCAACAUGUACGAAGCCCCCUUUGUUAGGAAGCGUUUUACCCAAUGUGGAACUUUGACUUUCGAUGCGAAUCUGAAUAUAGUCGAACUUCAAUAUAGAUACCAAACACCAGAUAGGAAAUUAAACCAGGAAAAAAAAACAUGUUUAAUUCAUCCAACAUUUCCAAACACAAAUCAAUACACAUAUAGUAGUAAUAAAUAUUGCUUUUACAAAAUGAAAAAAAAACAAAAAAAAAAAAACUGCAAAAUAAAUUUAAAUAUUUUCAUGAUCAAAUCUCCUUAGGGUCAGCGUAUUUUUGUAAAGCAUCACCAACCAUUUUCCCAUACCUAAAUUCUUCAAAUAUUUCAACUCCCAUAUCAACAUAAAAAUCAUAUGAUUUUUUAUUCCAAACAGCCACAAUUCCCUCAACUGAUGAAAAUCCAUUAUUUGCAGCAAUUGAUGCAACUGUCCCAAACAACAACCUUCCCAUGCCCAAUUUCCUAUAACUUUCCCUAAAAUAAAGACUCUCAAAAUAAAUCCCAGCCUUAUCAUAAAAACACGAAUAAUUCGCGUAAAAAAAUGAAUAUCCAGCAAUAAAAACAUCGUUUUUAUCAUCAUCAUUGAUCGAAUUGGACUUGAAUUCAUCGGCUUCUUUGUCUACGACAUUUGCCCUUAGGUCAAAUUUUUUUAGGACAGGCUUAAAUUUUUCGCCUUUACUAUCAAUAUCUGAAAAAGGCGUUGGCGAUACUUCAAGUAGAAGUAUUGAAGGACCAUAAAAUAAAGGACUAGGGUUUGUUUUAUUGAAUAAAAGGUCACAAAGGGAGGAUUCAGUAGCUUUGUAAAGAUGAGUGUAAUUAUGAUAUUCAUGAAUUUGGUAAAAAAGUUUGUAUAUAUGAUGUAUAUCAUUUUCAUUUGCAAGUCUAACUCUAACAUAAACUUUUUCAGUAAUUGUGAGGGGGUUUUCAAUUGUAGCCAUGAUGAUAUAUAAUAAUAAUAAUAGAUGGAUGGAUGGAUGAAGAAAAAAAAUUGAAGUGUUUUUGUUUUUGGUUAUGAUGAGAUAUGUUUGAAUGAAUAUGGUUAUUUAUAGUUGAAAAUUUUGUGUUGUUUUUGUUUUGUUUAUUUGUUAUUUUUUGUUUGGUUGUUGGUGGAAAAGUAUAUUAAAUUAAAAUUAUGAGGCGUAUUCAACUAUUCAUGAUGUGCAAGUUAGUGUGUGUUUGGUAUGGAGGAUGAUGAUGUUUUAUAAUUUUGUAUGUUUUUGUAAGUUAAAAUAUUUUUGAAAAUGAGUUUCUCGUUGUUUGCAAUAAAUUUUAAAUAUAUGGAAAAUAAAUAAAUCACACAAAUAAAAUCUAAAGAAAUAUGAUUUUUUUUAUUGAUAAUAGUGCAGGUAUAAUUUUGUUCCUCCCUUGAUUUUCCUCUCAUAAGAUUUAUUCAUGAUUCGAGGGCCGUUAGUGGCGUAUUUCUCGAACUACGAUGAUUUAGAUUUGACCUCUAUAUGAAUAUUUCAUGACUUUUGUAGAAUAUAUCGAGAUGCCUUUUAAAGGAAUUUAGUACCCUUUAUAUAGGCAUGACAUGAACUAGGAUUUAGGGUUGAGUAGCCUCCAAGAAAUCUAAUUGAAACUGAAUACACCUUCUAAACCCCCAUUCGAAUUGAACUCAUCUUGUAGAGUCCCGCAAAAUUUCAAUGUCUACACUCGUAAAUGUGGAAAAUAAUUUCUUUAAUAAAAAUAGAAAAAACAGGUUCUAUAAGUAACAUUUCAAGUUCAUCGUCUGCUUGCUAUCUUUUGAUCAUCCCACCUCUAAACCACCCAUUCCCUAUCUCAUCAUGUCCACGUAAUAUUUUUCUAGAUUACGUAAUAAUAAACUCACAUAUUUUUCUAUUAAAAAAAAUGUGAAAAAUAUUUUCCUUCGUGCCAAACAUAGAAGAGAUAGUUGAAUUUGGUUGAGUUGGUGAAAGGUGAGUAGUGAGUACCAUGUCCACGUACUUUGCUGGCUCAUCAUACUUUCCUAUUAAAUAAAUUUGUUUUGAAAGGGACCAUCUAAUAGUUCUCCUUUAAAUUAUUAUUUUUGUGGGGAAAUCAUAAAGCUAUUUUGUAUUUUAUUUGUUAAUUUAUUAAAUAUUAAGCAGAUAAAAAAAAUGAGGCAGAGAGUCGAUAAACUAGUUGAUUGACUUGGCAUGUGUUAUUUAAUAGUAUUAAAAAUGUUUUAAAGUUGAGAUUAGGCAAAAUUAUUUUCUGUUUUUCUAGUUACUAAAUUUAUUUAGCACUUUUUGUAAAGACAAUCUGUCGGAUUUUUUACAAAAAGUGUUAUCGGACACUAUACUUUUUACAACCAUCAUCAUUGAUCACCACCCAAAAAAAGAAAAAAACACUGAUACAUAAUAGUUUCUUCUUUAAAGUUACAAAUAUAUAAAAAUUUGUAUAUUAAGUGAAAAUAGUGCAAAAUAAAUAUCUACUUGGAACCUCAAUAAUAACACCACCAAAGUGACAUACAAGAAUUGUAAUAACUAGCACAAAUUAUUUACGAAAAAUCUUAUGUACGCCACUAAAUACAAUUCGUUAAUGAACUCCAAUCGUGCAAACUUUAUAGAGUAUAUAUAAGUUAUCCUUCAUCAUAGUGUAUAAGUUAUUCAUAGAGUUAACAAGAGACAAGUAGUUGUGUGACCUUGGGUACGAAGUCGCCUUGAGCGUUUUACCCUUAGCGUGAAUCCGAAUAUAAUUGAACUCUAACGUGAAUAUCAAAAAAAAAAUAGUCGUGAGACAUUUUCUUCUAAUGUGAGAAAAUGGCCAAACAAUCCAACCUACCACCUACCUACCUAUCACUAUAAUUGACUAAUGGUAUAAAAAAAUCAACCUGCAACCAUCAAAGUUUGGUGGAAUGGAUAACAUCUUUGUUUUAUGGAUAGGCGGAAUCAGAAUUUAAAUUAAUUUUAUAGAUUUUAAAUUUUAAAAUAGUGAAACUAAGGGUUAAUAAUUAAGUAUAAUUGAACUCAUACAGGACUUUUAGCUUCGCCUCAAUUAUUAUUAAUUAACUAAAAAAUUUAAGUUUGCAACCCAAAAAUAUAAAUGUACUGAUAACAAAAUUCCUUAUUUUUCAAUGAAUUUUACAUAAUACAAGUAUAAAUUAAUUACCUACCUAUCACUACAAGUCAUCAACUAGAAGGUGACUUGCAUGUCUAAUAUAUUAAAUAAAUAUCAUAUUGAUAUGGUCCAAGCAAUGUUUGAUGAGCAUGGUAUUUUCAUUACAAAAUCUACUAAUAAUACUAUAGGAAAUCUCAUUUUUAAUGUCCUAGAAAUUUUGAUUCUGUCUCGAUCCAAUAUUAAACUUUUAUGGUAAUAAAAAUAAUAAUAUCGUGAUUAGUCACUUUUAUUUUUCCUAUUUAUAUGGUACGAUUCAAAUUUUUAAUUUUUUAUUGUAAAUAGAUUGAAUUAACAAAAAGAGAAUUUUUAAAAAUGACUAUUUAUGUUUAGGUUUAAUUAGAGAUCUAUAAUUAUAGUUUGCUUAAUUAUGAUUUAUAAUUACAUGUUAAAAGAAGAAAAGAGACAAGCAAGAUCGGAAAAGGGAGGAGAGAAGCGAGCGAGAGAAGGGACAAAGAAAAAAGACGCCAAUCAUAUUUGUAUAUCUACUAGAUAAUUAUGUAUAUGUAUCUAAUAUAUAUAGAUUUAUAACUAAGAAAAAAAAAAUUUUGAAAUCAUAGAUAAAAUAAAAUUGAAUAAACCCCUAGAUCGUAACUAGCUUCGCUCCGUGUACUUGUCUCUACGUUCGGGCAAAUAUUACCAAACAAACAUCUUGCAAGUUGUGAGACACACCUCAAACUUUCAUUGACUUUUUCUACUCAAUUUGGUAAAAUAGUCAAACUUAACAACUUACCAACUUUACCAAAAUCAUCUUAUUAUUUUAAUAAUUACAAUAUUCGACAUGCAGGCCAAUUAAACUUGGGAAGAAACACGUAUGACCUACAAUUAAGUAAUCACUUACCCUAAAUGUUUAUAUUUUAUAAAAACACCCAUCAUUUAUUACUAUCAAGUUGACAAGCUUUAAAAAACACCACAAAGACACGUAUUCAACUUAUGUAAUAGUAUUGUUACAUAGAACUUGUUAAUUAAAGUAAUGUAAAUAUAAAAAUUGGAUGCUUCUCUUUGAGUUGAAUUUUUUUUACUAUAUCCUACAUUGAUAUAUGAAAUCGUUAAUACGUAGUUUGGAACUUAUAAUUUAUAUAUGGUUUAAUUUUUAUCACCGAGCAAGUCCAUUAUAAAAUGAUAAUAUAAAUUGUUGGGUUCUCCGCAGUUUUGUGGUUGAUGAAGUGACAUGAAACGGGUAAGUCAAGCUGGUUCAACGGUGCACUGUCUCAAGGAGCUGAAUUUGUAGCAAGAUCAUAAAAGAUAAGUGUGUAGAAAUUAAGGAAUGGAUAAUGCUAAUUUCUAAUAAACCUGAGGAGACAAAGAUGUGUUGAAUUGAAGAGUUGAAGUUUGAAUUGAAGGAGUUUCACUUGAAGUGGAACUCUUAAAUCAAGAAAGUUCGAGUCAAUGUGGAAUUUGAAGCAAAGAACAACCAUUUGAAGAGUUGUGUUUAAAUAGAACUAUAGAAGUGAAGUCGUGAAGAAUAUAUCUGCACUUACAUAUCAAAAAGAACAAUUGAAAAUUUGGCAUCACAAGUGUUACCAGAAGAUUAAAAGAACACAUUAAUAAAUCAGGUCUUGGGCUUAUGUAUUAAAAGAUCUUCAUUGAGUUGUAAUGUUGAUGUAAUCUUAGUUCAUGGAUUGAACUGACCCACAAUCUGUCUCUUCAACCUUUGAGUAGACCAUAGGCGGGACUCUCUUUCGCCUAGGCAGAGAGGAGGGAAUGUAAGACGAGACUGAUUCAAGAGUCUUGGACAGAAGGGAGGGGACGGAGACGGAGCUUCCUUCUUGACUUUCAUCAUUUCAAGAAAGCUUAUUUGAGCAGAGAAUUUCCUUUUAGUACAAUUUCUUUUUAUAAUUAAAUUGAAUAAGAAGAUUUGUCUUCAAGUUAAGAUAACUCAAAGACUUGGGAACACAUACCUUAGGAGAUUUAUGUUGAAGUUUAGGAAUUAGAGUUAGUUCUUAAGAUUGCAAGAGUUGUAAUCUGAAUUUAUAACUUGAAGUAUGUUUGAUCAUUUGAUUGAUUGUUGAUGUUUAGGAAUUAGCGUUAAUUUCUUAGGUUAUAGAAAAUCUUAAAUUGUUGAGGCUUAGUGAUUUUGUGAAGUUGAAGUUAAAUCUUGUAGGGGUACAAGUCGUGAUUUUUACACCUUUUGAUUAGGUGUUUUCUACGUACGUAAAACAUUAUGUUCUUUACUUAUUGCUCUUACUGUUGGAAAAUGUUAGACCACCAACUUUUCACUUAGGCGAAAAGUUAUGUUAAGUAACUAACCUCUAGGUCGUGUAGAAUAUCACAAAUUUGUGAAUAUUUUUAAAUAAUUUUUAGAACGUAUGAGUAUAUAUCAUAUUUCUUUAAUAAUUUACUUUGGACUAUUCCUUCUAUUUUUGAUUUGUUUGUCUGAUUACACCAAAACAAUAUACUUGGGCCAUUGCCCAUUAGAGGAGGACUGGUUGUUAUAUUGGGCCAAUAUGGACGAAAGUCAAGCCCAAGAAACUUUAUAAAUGGAGUAGGAAUUGGACCUGAUGAACAAAAUCAUUUUUAAUAGUUGGAUGAUAAAAUCGUGUGUUAUUAUCGUUGCUAUUAUUUUUGCGCAAAUUAUAGAAAUACACACUUUUUGCUUCACUUAUUUUCAUUAUUCCUUAUUACUUUUAAAAAUCUCCAAAAUUCCUUAUUUCUAUCCGAGCUGCAUAUUAAUGUAUCCGAGCCAGUAUUUAAUGUAUCUGAGCUAUAUAUUAAUAUAUCCGAGCUAGUAUUUUAUGCAUCCGAGCUACAUAUUAUGUAUCCGAGCUACAUAUUAAUGUAUCUGAGCUUCAAUUAUUGUAUCCGGUUUUUUUAAUUUUUAAGGGAUUAAUGUAAUUAGAAACUUAUUAGGGAUAGAUUGUAAUUUCAUAUUAAAACUAUGGGAUUUAUGUUAUUUACCCAUUAUUUUUUUCACUAAUAGGUCUUGGUAACUAAUUGUAAUUUGACAAAUUGCAGUAGAUAGUAAUUGUGUUAAAACUAGUUUGUAUUAAAAUAAUUAUAUUAUAAUUUUAGGAUAAUACAUCAUAAAAUAAUAAUUUUAUGUCAAACUUAUGAAUUAUGACGUUAUCUGAGAGUUUUUAACACUUACGAAUAUAAAAUCCUAUUUUAUUGUUUUUCAAAACAAAAGAAAAAAAUGAAAUAUAUAUCUGAAAAUAUGACCCAAACAUAUUUUAAAACUUCAAUUCAUACUUUACUUUAUCUGUUUUUUCAAAAAUAUUUGAAAAUUACUAUAUAAGAAGAGUGAAUAAAAUUCACUCUUCUUUUGACACAUGGCACCAAAAAAAAGGAGAGGGUUGAACAUAAGUGUCAAGGUGAGGGUAUUUUGGGUAUUUCAAAAUACCCUCACAUUCACACUUAUCUACUAAAAAUAAUAAUAUAUAUAAUAGUAAUAUAUAAUGUAUAAUAUAAGUAGUACAUAAGUGUGAAUGUGAGGGUAUUUUGGGUAUUUAAAAAUACUUAUGUUACGUAUUUUUAAAUACUUUAAGUUGUGAUUAAUAAUAUUCUUAACGUAAUUUCAAAUAAUAUAUGUUACUCCAUUUGUCCCAAUUUAUGUGACACAUGUAAAAUUUUGAGAGUUAAUAUGUUUUUCAAAUAUUGUAAGUUGUUAACUAUUGUGGUUUAUGGUAUUCUUAAUGUAAUUUUUCAAAUAAUAUAUGUUAUUCCCUUCGUCUUAAUUAUACUACUAAAAUAUAUAUAUAUAUAUAUAAUAGUAAUAUAUAAUGUAUAAUAUAUAUAUAAGUAGUACAUAAGUGUGAAUGUCAGGGUAUUUUGGGUAUUUAAAAAUACCCUCACAUUCACACUUAUCUACUAAAAUAUAUAUAUAUAUAUAUAAUAGUAAUAUAUAAUGUAUAAUAUAUAUAUAAGUAGUACAUAAGUGUGAAUGUCAGGGUAUUUUGGGUAUUUAAAAAUACCCUUUAGCACUCUUCUUAUAUAGUAAUUUUUUUUAUAUAAGUAGUAGAUUUAAAUAUAUUUAAAAAUAAUAUAAGUAAUACUAUACUUAGUAUGCUUUAAAAUAGUAAAAACUACAUAAAAAGUACUACAUACUAUAUUACAAUAAUUAACAAUUAUUUGACACUUUCAAUUCUAUCAAUGCCAUAUAAAUUAGGAUUAAAAAGGUAACAUAUAUAUUCAAAAAUAAUAUAAGUAAUACUAUACAUUACAAUAAUUAAUAGCUUAAAUAUUUAAAAGUUAUAUAAAAAAUAUAAUUGACUCUCUAAAUUCUAUUGGUACCACAUAAAAUGGAUUAUAUGAUAAACGUAUAUUGUUUGAAAUUGACGAAAAAGAAACUAUAAAUUACAAUAAUUAACAAAAAAAUUCGCUCGACUCCAACAAAUCUAUCAAUUAAUGCCACAUAAAUUGGGACAUGGGAAAUAACAUAUAUUCUUUAAAAAUUAAGUUCAAAAUGUACUAUAAAAUACAAUAAUUAACAACUUAAUAUAGUAAAGAGACAUAUAAAAAAUAGUUAAUAUUUGAAAUUUUGCAUGUGCCACAUAAAUUAGAACAAAGAGAGUAAUAAAUAUUAUUUUCAAAAUUCUGUAAAAAAAGGUACUACAAAUCACAAUAGCUAACAAUUUAAAAUAUUUUUACAAUCAUAUAAAAAUUUCAAUAACUUCUCAAAUUUCAUAAUAUAUGACAUAAGAAGAGGGAAUAACCAAUAUAUUUAUAAAAAUAAAUGACAUAUAAAAUGAAAUGGAGAGAGUAUUAGUUUUUGAAAAUGGAAAAGGACAAAACACAUAUAAAAUUAAAAGACAUAUAAAAAAAAGUUGGUUUAACUCUCAAACAUAAAAAGUAACAUAUGUUAUUAAAAACUUUAAUAAAAAGUACUAUAAUUUACAAUAAAUAAUAACUUAAAAUAUCUACAAGGAAAAAAAAAAAAGACUAAUUUUUGUACUGCUUGUGUCACAUAUAUUAGGAUUGGGAUGAUUUUAAAAUUUUAAUUUUGGUUAUACAUUAUAAAAUAGCCGAAAAAUUGAAUGAUAUAAUUUUUUUUUAAAUAACUGAAUGAAUCGUCCUAUCGAUAAUCCUAAUGUUACUUCUACUUUGUUUAUUUUUACUUAAAUGUAGAAAGAUAUGCUUCAGUUCUACCCUCAAUCUUAUCGCUACAUUUAUUUGCUAUUUAAAAUUGAAAUUAAAAAGACAAAUGACAAAUAAGUUUCUAUAUUAGCUCACUUAUGAGCAAAAUAUAUUAUAACAAUCUUUACUAUUUUUAUAACAAUACAUAAACUAUACUCCCUCCGUCCCAUAUUAGAUGGGCACUUCCAACUUUACACGGUGAUUAAGAAAUCAUUAAUACAUUGGAAGACUUCACCAUUUUGCCCUUUGUUUAUAUCAAUGCACAUUGAAAUGAGUAACAAAAAAUACACAUACAAUAUAGGAAUGGUCAUAUUAAUUGUAGGGGUAAAAUGGAAAAGAAUUAAUUAAUUCUAUCCUAAUUUAAUAAGAGCUCAAAUAAUAUGAAAAAAAAAUAUUUUUAGUAAGAUUCUCAUCUAAUAUGGGACGGAGAGAAUAACAAUAUAACUUUAUUAAUGUUGGAGCCGGGCAGCGCCCGGGCUUUCUUUACUAGUAUAAUAUGAAAAAUAAAAAUUUAGUAAGAUUCUCAUUUAAUAUGGGACGGAGAGAAUAACAAUAUAACUUUAUUAAUGUUGGGCCCGGGCAGCGCCCGGGCUUUCGUUACUAGUUUAUAUAUAAACACUAGCUAAAUAAUUAUUAUCUCUAAAAAUUAUUUUUUUUUUCAAAAAAUGUGGAAUAAGAAAAGAAAGGCCUGUGAAUUUUUUUAUAUUUUCUUUUAAAAAAAAGAGAUGGUAAGUAACGAACCACGUGAUUCUCCAAACUGGGGCUAUUUAAUAUUUUUUUGUUUUUCACCCUAGUUUAGUAUCACUAUUGAACCUCGACUAAAUUUAAAUUUUGGAUUAAAAAAUCUCAUAUUGAGAAAACACAAGUGACGAAAAAGGUGAAUUCAAUCCCGAAAUUCCAUAUUGAGAGAACAAAAGUGAAUUCGUAUCAAAGCAUUCAAACCCAAAAUAUUUAAUUAAAAAUAUACAAAUUUCGUAUUAAUCAAACUCUAAUAUCAUAAUAUCAUGAACCUUCUUAUUAAUGAAACUCUGAUAUCAUAAUAUCAUAAACCAACCACGUGGAUAAUUACAUUCCACUUUCAUGAAUUAAAUUAACCAAAAAAAAUUACAAAAUCUCCACACUUUCCACAUUUUAGUUUUAAUUUCCAGAAGAAAAAAAAAUCUCAUUUCUUGAAGAAUCCAUAGUCACCAAAUUCACUGUUGUUCUUCAAAUUUAGGUUUUGUAAAUCUGAAAUCCAAACACCCAAAUGGCUUCUUUAUCUUCUUCUUCAGUUUUGUCACCAAUUUGUACCUUUUUUUCUCAACCAAAACUGAAUCUUUACUGCAACUCUUCUUCUUCUUCUUCCUACAAACCCACUUGUAGUUCUUCCAAAUCUUCAAUUUUCCAAAAUGGGUUAUCUUUAUUAACAACUAAAUCAUGUGGGUCUUCAUUGAAAUCUAAGAAUAUGGGCAAUACCAUCUAUGCUAGAGCUGCUACUGAGAAGACUAUUUAUGACUUCACUGUUAAGGUGUUUAUAUUUUUUUAUCUCAAUUUCUUUAGAUACAUUUAGAGACUAUAAAUAUGUUAAAAGUUGCAGUUUUUUGGGUGGAACUGUAUUUUUAUUUUAUUUUUUUGGACUCGUAUGGUAUGAGGGAUAAGGAAUUACUUAUCCGAGAUUAAUUUUAGGGUGAGUUUAUUUCAUGUUUGGUUGGGAUGGGAUAAAAUUGCGGAAUAAUUUUUCCCGGGAUUAUAGUGUUAUUCCACAUAGAGGGACUUGUUCCUCCUUGCUAGGAGGGAUAACUAAUGUCGAGAUUAAUUUUAGGAUGAGUUUAUCACAUGUUUGGUUGGGAUAAAAUGGCAGGAUAACUUAUUCCAGGAUUGUAGUGUUAUUUUUGUCCCAUGUUGAGGGUGUCGUUUGCUAUGCGGGAUAAGGUGACAUAUUCCUGGAUUAAGUUUGGGAUGAAAUUUAUAUUGUGUUUGAUUGACGGUAUCGAUUGAAUCUAAGUUGAAUCUAGCAUCCAAUUUAAAGUGAUUAUAUUAAUGAUUAUGUUUACUUGAUGUGUGUGAAUUUCCAUGGUGAAAAUAGUUGAAGAAAAUAAACCUCAAAGAUAUCUAGGUAGUGUCAUCAAAGGCUCGCUUAAAGCGCGCUUAAGCCCUGAAGCUAGGCUCAAAGCGUGUUGAGCGCUUCGCCUCGCUAAAUGUGUGCUUUAGUGUCGUCAUCAACUUUCUAAGGCAUACUUUUCCUUGCCAAUGAGCCUCUUCUGAAGAGGCAACACUAAACAAUUGAUAUGUCAUUUUAUCAUAAGAAAGUUUCAAUUUUUUUGUUUCGUACAUUUGUCAUUCAUUCAUGCUUAAAAUUAUUAGUCUUGGACUAAACAUAUAUAUAUUUAGAAUUUUUUCUCCCUUUGCGUCUUUUUUCAUUGAAGCUCAUGCUUUACCUGCGCUUUGGGCUUAAAGCCCCAACAGAUCAAGUUUUUUUGCUUUUGAUACAGUGGUUCUAGGCUGCACAUAUUCCCUGUUGGAAAUUGGUAUGAGCUGUUAGGAUUACCAGAAAUAAAGUCAUACACUGAGAUGUUUUUCUCUUUCUGUUGAAUGCCUUAAUCAAGUGAUUGGAGCAGAGGAAGUUACUAGCCGGGUUUUGAGUAAGUAUUUUUUCAUGAGAAGGAGAUGUCAGUUUCACACCAUCUAUUUGUAUAUGACACACUGAUAUUUUCCAAGCCCGAUCGAGAUAGAUUUGUGCAGAUUGUAUUUUAGGCUGUAUAUGCGAAUUAGUGAGAAAGUCGGAGUUAAUGCCACAAGAGAGGUGCACAGGCAUACAUGAACUCACAUUUAUGAGGGGAUGCAAGGUAGUCGAGAUUGAAUAAGAUUAGUUGGGAGAUUAAGGGGCAGUAGAGGAAGGGGGGGGGGGGGGGGGGGGNNNNNNNNNNNNNNNNNNNNNNNNNNNNNNNNNNNNNNNNNNNNNNNNNNNNNNNNNNNNNNNNNNNNNNNNNNNNNNNNNNNNNNNNNNNNNNNNNNNNNNNNNNNNNNNNNNNNNNNNNNNNNNNNNNNNNNNNNNNNNNNNNNNNNNNNNNNNNNNNNNNNNNNNNNNNNNNNNNNNNNNNNGGGGGGACCGAUAGCCGGUGGUGAUACAGAAAUUUGUAAAAAUGAUUGAUGGGGUGGAAUAGAUAGUAUUUUCUAGACGAGGGAGACGGAGAACAGUUUGAAUUAUGCAACCUGUCCAGUAUCACCGCGUAUUUAUGCACUUGUUUUCUAUCCCAACAGCUAUUUGCAAAAUAUUUGAAGAUAUUCAGAUUGAAGUUCUUUAACCAAGCAAAAUGGAUAUGUUUCCUUGUUUAUGUUUUUGUCUUGAUGCAGGAUAUUGAUGACAAAGAUGUUCCACUUAGCACAUUUAAGGGAAAGGUUCUUCUAAUUGUCAACGUUGCUUCCAGAUGGUACUUUCUCCUCCAUUUCUAACUGAUUGUUUAAGAUUCAGAUAACUUUACCAUAGUUUAGUGAUCUGACUGGAGAAACUGGUUUUGGAUUCAGUGGCUUGACGACAUCAAAUUACACAGAGCUCUCUCGUGUGUAUGAGAAGUAUAAAAAUCAAGGUGAGCUGCAUGCUUUAGGAUUCAAUAUGUUGAAUCUCUGUAAACGUCUGGAAAUUUAGCACGUAACUCUCUUGAAAUGGCAAUGCUUCUCCUGAACAUGUAUAAUUUGUGGUUUCUGCUUAUUUUUAUUCUACUCAUAAGAAAGAUAGCCAGUAAUACUAACAUGUGCACAACUACAUGAAAAUUGAAUGGCAUAAUGAUAGCUUUCAAAAUCUAUUCCUGUUACUAAUUGUAGAAUAGUUUCCCCCGGUGAUAGAAUUUGAUUACAAAAGGAGUUAAUCAACUGAAAUUGAAUGAAUCGAACUAUAAUGUCAUGAUGAAUCAUAAAUCCUUUUCCGAUUUUAUUUUCUAGUAACCGACGAAUAGAUCAAAUAUGCUUUCAAAUUUUUGUAGCCUUUCAACUUCAACUUCCCUUAUUUAAGAUGCUCUCUUGAGUUGAUGGUAUAUGUCCCUUCGUAAAUGCUUGAGGAACAGUGAUAUUUGAUGAUUACUAGUCCGGCUGUAAUCUUUAUGGAAUAAAAAGCAUAGUUUCAUUGAGCUAUAUAGUAUCUACAAUUUGAGGUAUAUGAGCCAGUCAAAAGAACUCCUAUUAACUGCUAUCUCAUAGGUCUUGCAGCUUUUAACUCGAGUCACCAAAGAGACAUCGGAUGCCUCUCUAGUAGCAUCCAUAAUAGGACAUCUUACUAGCAAGUACAUGUUAUAUUUUCAUUGAACCACUGGCUUAAAAUACGUAUUAAUUUUUAACGAUUUCUGUUAUUGCAUAACUAUUGAAUAUGUAUUGUUUUUACAAGUUCAAUUUCAACAUUGUAAUUUGCACUGACAUAUAGUUUAUCCCAUGCAUAUCCUUCCAACUUAGUUGAUCACAUUCCUUGCAGGACUUGAGAUUCUUGCUUUUCCAUGUAAUCAGUUUGGGGCUCAAGAGCCAGGAUCGAAUCCGGAGAUUAAACAGUUUGCUUGCACACGGUUUAAAGCUGAAUUCCCAAUUUUUGACAAGGUUUGCAUUUACUUCCCCUGCAUAUAAUUUCUAUGGAGUGCCAUACUGGUAUAAUCAAAGGACUAAUAAGAUAUGAAACAGGUCGACGUGAAUGGCCCAAACACGGCACCAGUUUACCAGUUCCUAAAAUCAAGUGCAGGAGGAUUUUUAGGUGAUCUGGUUAAGUGGAACUUUGAGAAGUUUCUUGUGGACAAAAAUGGUAAAGUUGUUGAGAGGUAUCCACCAACUACGUCGCCUUUACAAAUCGAGGUACUCACUCUUUUACCUCAUUUCUUGUAUAUAUACAAUAUUUGAAGUCAUGGGAGCUCCAUAAUUGGUUUUAAAUCUGCUGUGAUAUAAUUGAUCUCUCACUAAGUCAUAGCUUUUUUUUGAUAACUCGAUGGGAAGAAUAGGUGGGAAUUAGAAGGAUAAAGAAGAAUGAGAAACAGCUUUGAUAAAACUUGUAAUUUCGAGUAAAUAGGAAGAAGGAGAAAAAGAGAGGGGGAUAAUAAUAAGAGAAAGAGGAGUGAAGAGCGAGACGUAGUAUUUUAGUAUCAAAUCAAUCAAUCAACAACAACAUACCCAGUGUAGUCCGACAAAGUGGGGUCUUGAUAGUAUCAAAUCAAUGCAUCGAAUAAUUUCAUGUUUUCAAGUUUUAAAUGAAAACGGACCUUGGUCCUAAAUCAACCCAAAUAAAUCCAAAUAUGAUUUCGAUGAUUGGUUCACUUCAAUAGAUGUUUUUCCUACAGGCGUGUAGUCUGUCUUAACCCCCCAGUGUAUAGUAAAACUCUGCCUCCCAAGUCCCAACCUUAACUAGUACUAUUAUCUCACACGAAUUCUCCCUAGUAGCCCGGUAAAAUGAUCAUAAACUUCGACCUGAUUUGAAUCUAAAUACUUCACUAUGAGUGCGCUUACAGCUUUGAUGGAACGAAAAUGCAUUAACUCUACCUCGCUUCUGGUUAAUCCCCGAUUCACAAAAGGAAAACGAACAUGAAAAUGCUUUUAGAGUUUGUUAUUGACACAACAUAGUUCUUGAGUGCACUUCUAAAUGUCCAGAUAGGAAGAAAGUAUUAGGAAAGUUUUCAUCUGUUUAAGCCUUUCCUUGAGCUGAGGGUCUAUCAGAAACAACAGAGGUAGGAGUAAGGUCUACGUACAUUCAACCUUCAACAGACUCCACUUUGUGUGGUACUACACUUGGUAUUUUGAUCAUCUGUUUAAGCCUCGGUGAGGUACUUAUGCUGGUGGGAAGUAGCAAGUACCGGUAGAAUAUUUUAGGUGCAUAAGUUAGUUCGAACGUCACCGUUAGUUGAAAACAACUAUCAUAGGACAUACAUAAGAAAAGCUGCAUUUCUAAUUUUUUUCAAUCAACUGCAUCUAUAGAUUAUGUUGUUUUCUGAUGUUGCCAAGUAAUGUUUUGUUUUAAUCUAUUGCAGAAAGAUAUUCAGAAACUUUUGGCAGCUUAAAUAAUGCUCAUGAGAAAAGGCUAUUUGUGCAAUUCAGCUAAUUAUAUAUAGUAGCUUCUCUUUAAACAGUUAUUCCCUCUGUUGCUAUUUAAUUGUCAUCGUUUUAGAUUUCACAUCAUUUAAGAAAUUAUGUUAGUUUAUCAUUAUAUUCUUAUUUAGUGUUCUCUUACAGUCAAGUUUUCAAUUAAUUAACAUAAAUUAAUUUAUUUGACCAAUGAACAUGAAUUAAUUACUUAGUUUUCCGAUGGUAUAAUGCAUACUUUCAAGGAUAAAAUAGGAAGAAUAGUGUCAUUUAUUCAUUGAUUUUGUGAAAUGACAAAUAUUACUACCUCUGUCCACUUUUAAUUGUUAUGUUGCACUUUUCGAAAGUUAAUUUGACGAAAUUUCAAAAUUAAAUUAGAUUACAUUAAUUCAAUAUUUUAAACAAGAGAUUUAGAUAUUCAAAAAUUAUAUGAAAAGUACUAUAAAUUGCAAUUUUUCGCAUAUCAAUAUGAUGAAAAAAUACAUCAUAGAAUGCUACUCAAAGUUCUUAUAUAUCAUAAAGAAUAAAGCACAAUCAUCCAUAGAUGAAAAAAUAAUUAAUAUUACUUAUUUUCUAAGAAUACUAAAAAUAUAAAAUAUAACUUAUAUUUAAGAAAAAAUAGUAUCUCAUUUAUAUAAAUAAUUAAUUGUACUUAUUUUAAGACAACUGAAAAUAUAAGAUUUCACUUAUGCUAAAGAAAAAUAAUUUUCCUUCUGUAUCAACGUAAAUAUCUUACAUUUUUUUAUUGGACAGUAGAAAAUAUAAUAAUUAACUUAUAAUUAGAAAAAUAAUAUCCCCUCCACAUCACUUUAAGCGUCUUAUUUUUCUUUUAAUUAGAAAAAGUUAACUAUAGUUAAAUUUCUUAUUACAAAAUUAGAAAGAAAAAACAAAUUAAAUACAUUUACCAUGAAAAACUUGAGUGAACUUUUUUCCUAUCAUAUUAUAUAUAUAUAUAAAAGAAGAUGAAAGUUAACCAUAAGUAUCCCAAUUUUUAAUUGGAAAAAAAAACGUUUGAUCAUAAAAAUUGGAUUUAACUUCUUUUUGUUCUAAACAAGGUUAAUUAUUUUAUUCUUUUAUAGGUUAACUUCUUCCAAAAAAAAAUUAUUAUAAAAAAAUUGUCACGACUCAGACCAUCGUGAUUGGCACCCACACUAACCAUCCGGUGGAAGAACCAUAACUACUAACUAACUAACAAUUUAAAGCUACGGAAGCAGGUUUAAAUAACUAAAUAAGGAAGUUCCCAUAAACUUCAACAAAAGAUCUAACAACUAAACUAAACAAAUGCGGAAGAAAUAACCUAGAACCUGAAAGUCAAUGUACCAAAACUCUAACAAGAUUCAUAAGUCUAAACAAGAAAAUCAUCUAAAGAACUAGUCUAAGUCCGAAUAAGAUGGAACUCAAGGCAACCCGAAAGAACUGGCUUACCCUUGAAUUCGAAUCGGCGAUCACUGAUCUUCUAAGCGAGGUCUGUCAAUAGCCGUCAGAAGAUGCCCUGUACUCAACAAAAAUAAGAGCAAGUGCAGUAUCAGUACACAACUACCGUGUACUGGUAGGAUCACGUGACUAUCCCACUAAGUGUAACAUAAACAAGUUAAUACAACAUUAUAAUCACAUGCAUAUAUACAAUAUUGAAUAUCACAUGCUCAACAAUAUACAUUGAUAACAAGUCAUUGGUCCUCUCAUGGAACCCAAACCCAAAUUGUUAGUGCACUGAUUCGUGGUACCCGAUCCAAUAGUUAUGCCAAAAGGUGGCAACCGAUCCCAUAUUUAUGCCGGAACGUGGCAACGGAUCCCAAUUGGUAUGCCGGAACAUGGCAACCGAUUCAUUCAACACACUACAAUCACAAUCACAAUUAUAUUCUCAAUAAUCAUACAAUCAAGAAGUGAUUCAUGACAUAUAGUUAUUCGUUCAUACUCAUUUACAAUUAGUGUGAUCAACAAUGCGACAUUCGCAUACAUACAUUCAUCAUAAUGAAGCAAAAACAAGCUUACAUCACAUAAUCAUGAAAUUACAACCAUCACCUACCUCGAAUCCAAGCUUGAAUACCCUAAGGCACUUGAAUCUUCUUUUUUCGGAUUCGUUCCGCUUGUUCUUGGUCUACAAACAAGCAAUAUAAUACGGGAAUCAAUAAACAACCACUAAUUACCCGAAUUACUAACAUUUCAAUGAACCCUAGAUCAAACCCAUGAUCCCAAUUAUUCAAAUUAGGGUUGUUUCCACCAUAUAAUCUAUAACAAAACCCUCCCUCAUCAAUAUUCACCCAUUCUAUUAUGUUCUAUGGUUCAAAAAAUGGAUUCGGGGAGUGAAAAACUUACUUUAGCCUCAAGAAUGGUGAAAACGAGUAGGAGUCGUCUGGGGUUCAUUCCUUAGCUCUAAAAGUUGAAAAGUGCAUAAUAAGGUCCUUUAGAGGUUUAUUAAUGACCUUAAGUCGCGUUGAUCCCGCCACAACGGCACCCACCUCGCUACAGCAGCCUCACCAGAGCGAUCAAAACCACCGCCAAAGCAGCUUGCACGAAACAGUGAGCUAUUUUAAUAAUUUCAAGAUUCCAUUUCACAACACACAUUUAACCAACGAUGCUCAGAAAAUCCCCUUCACGCUAAGAUCGAUUCUGGGAGUUCUACUCGCCCAAAUUCAAUUCUGUAAAGUCGUACGGAUUCCCUAACGAGUUAUCUAUCCACUCUUGUAAUCAAAAACAUAAUUAGAUCACCCGAUUGUUACCAGAUUUUUCUAUUCCUUAAUGACUCCGAUUUCAUCCAAAUCUGGACUAGGUUGGGAAAUCUCAAAAUACUAAGAAAAAGUUUUUCGACCCAAAGUUUUUCCCUGUUGGCUUUUCUAUAACGUCGGAAUCAGAUCGUUACAAAAGUUUAACUCAAAGUUUUUUUAGUUUUUUUUUAUUAUUUUGGGGUGGGGAGGGGGGGUUCUUGUAAGUGGACCUAUUUUGAGUGUUCAUUUUUCACAUUUGAAUGUGAACCUAACUAAAUACGCAAGGCAUAAUGGCAUCAAUAAAUCAUUGAAGGUAACUUUUUAACUUACCUAUCAUCCAAAGCUUCAAAUAAAAACAAAAAGGAUAACGACAGUUCAAUAAGGUAUAUUUACGUACAUUUUAUCCUCUUCCAAUUCGACUUAUAAAAUCAUACUAAAUACGUUAUUGUUAAAAGGUGUUUACGAGUCAGUUUGAAUCGACUAUUGGCUAAAAUCAAAAUUAAUUUAAUAUUUUUAAAAAUUAUUAAAAUUCAAACCAAAUAUAAUACAACACAUCAUACACGAAAAUAAAAUCAAAAGACAUACUUGUUCUAAAUACUUUUUCUUCGGUAUACACAUGUUCGGAAUUUUUUGGUUUUGGACUAUUUUAUUUUCAUAAAUAAAUUUUGAUGAAAAUAUAUGUAAGAUAUUUAAAGAUGUUCAUAAAAAAGAAUAUAUUAUGUAUAUAUUAUUAUAACAAAAAAAUAUGUAUAUAAUUUAUCCAUUCAAUUCGAUUAUUUCUCUGAUUUUCCUAAAUAAAAUCAAAAUCAAACUAAAUAUUAUCGAUUUUUAAAAAUUUAAAAUCAAAUCAAAUCAUAAACUCAAAUAAAAUAGAUUUAUUUAAUCAGUUUGGUUCGACUUUUAUCCGAAUGGCAUAUAAUUAAUGUAUAAAUUUUGUAUAUUUCAAUCAGUAUCGAUAAUUAAUUUUAUUGAGUUGGGUAUAUUGAUAACUAUUCUAAAUAAAUACAAUUACACCAUUUCUUUUUUUAAAAAUAAAAAAUAAACAAACAACUACCCUUUUUGGGUCUUCAAUUUAAAGUUACAGUCCAAUUUAUUUAAAGAGGAAGACAUACCUUUUCUAAAAGAAGAAUAAUUUUUAUUUAAAAUGACGCCCCACAUAAUCUACGUACCCCACAUUUUUCUUUUUAUGUUCCAAAAAAAUAAUAAUAUAAAAGUGGCACUAUUUUUUUAUUAUAUAUAUCUAUAUAUAAAAUAAAAAUGGUAGUAUAAAUUUUGUUCUUUGGGUUUUAAUAUUGAGAUGAAUCAAAAAUCUUAAAAUUAACAUAUUUGUAAUUUAAAAAUCAACUAAGUGUAAGGCUUAAUAUAUAAGGUCAAAUAAUGAAAUUUUAAAAGGGAAAAGGGUGGCGUCUGAGGCGGAGCCAAUAUUAAGAGUUAGGGGGUUUUAAAUUUCCUUUCACUUCCUUAUCAUUAAGUUGUCAAUCGAUUUUGUUAGAGGUUCAUACGUUAUUUAAUUUUCUAGUACAAAUAUAGGGUCUACGGAAAAAUUACUGGGUUCGUCCGACCCCACGAACCCCCACCUAGCUUCACACUUGAAAAAGGCUCGAAUUGGCCAUCAAACUUUGAGGAAAGGCUCAUCUAUGUCAUCCGUUAAAAUUUUGGCUCAUCUAUAUCAUUUCCGUUUGAGAAAAGGUUCAUUCAUUCCAUUAUUUGUUAACUGAAAUGACAUAGAUGAACCAAACUUUUAACGGAUGGUAUAGAUGAGUUUUUUCUCAAAGUUGGAUGGCAUAUUUGAACAUUUUAUCUUUAAAAAAGGAUUAAUUAAUGACAUCGCCGAAUCAUAAUAAACCACGUGUAAAAACAUAUUUUUGCAAAAUCGAAAUUGUUUUCAUUUAACAAAUAAAUGUAUGGAUGAGCCUUUUCUCAAACAAAAAUGACAUAAAUAAGCUAAACUUUUGACAAAUGGCAUAAAUGAAUUUUUCUCUAAGUUCAGUGACAUAUUUGAGCCUUUUCCCAUUUGGAAAAGAAUCUAAAUAUCUUUAUUGAUUUUUUUUCUCACAUUUAAUUUUUAAAUUUUUUUAAAACCAUAUAUACUCAAAACUCACUUAAGGUGGCUUCUACUAUUAAAUUGAUAUAAAAUAAAGGUUGUGUCCAACAACAUAUGAGAUUCCUUAAUUUUGCUUAACAAUUAUUUAAAUAUUCUUUUUAACCAAUUUUUUUUACAAUUUUGUAAAUUAUACAAUUAAAAGGGGCUUUCCAUUGAAGAACUAUUUUACUAUGUUAGAUCACAAGAAACACAUUGCUCCUUUGGUCCCUUACAUAAGAAAAGUAUUUAUUGUUUAUUACCAAGUCAAGAAUAAAAAAAAAAAGCCAACUCAUCAUCAAUAAGAAUGACUUGUUCCCUACAUAUUCAUAUUUUUGUUUUAUACCUUCUUUUUUCCUACCAAUGAUAGUGUACGGAUCAAUUUACGCGCAUCUCAAUUAUUUAAAUGAAUAUCAGUUAUUUCUCAUCAAUACAAUAAUGUUCAAUCAUUUUGUCCACCAAAACUUAAACGUUGCAUAUGUUACAGCAGAAUAAGUUGCAAAUAAUCUUACGUAAUAACCAAACAUCAGCUCGUACUUAAUCGUUUAUGCGUUUAAUAUUUUCAAAACGUUAAUACAUGCAUAACAUGUGUUUGCUAAUAGACUAGUCAAUUGAAUUUUUAUUUUUAUUUUUAUUUUUUUUAUCAAAAAUAAAUAUCAGAUAACAUUGUACACCAAAGUCUAGACACCCUACAUACUCAUGCAUUUUAAUAUAUAUAUAUAUAUGGAAGUCAUUGUUGUUCAAAUCAAAUAUAACUAUAGAUAGAGAAAACCCCUUUCCCCUCCCCAACCAAAAACCUCCAAAAAAAAAAUGGCUUCUAUGGUUUUUACAUCAUCACCUUUUAGUGUUCAAUCAUUUGUCAAAUUAAGAACAAACUCAAAUUAUCCACAUCCUUCAUGUUAUGUACCUAGGGUAAAAAAUUCUUAUGAACAUUUAUCCUAUAAGAAUAUUUCUCAUAUUGAGUCUUCCAAAUCUUUAUUUUUAAAGGGUGAUAAUAAUUUCUCUAUUUCAUCACCAAAAUUCCCAAGAAUUGCUUCAACAUAUUCUCCAUCUUUGAAUAUUAUUAAAGCAAGUAGAGAUGAAAAUAUAUAUCAUUACCCAGCAUUUGAAGGAGUAAGAAUUUUUAUUGCUUUCAGUUUAUGUUAAUGAUUUAGAAUUUACAAUAUAAUUUUCAUUUAUAUAGUCGUAAUUUUCAGUUGUUUUCUUCGCUUCAGGUGUUGUAUUAUUUGUUAUUGUUACUUUAUUUUUGUCAUGACUUCUUUACUAUUAUUGUAUUUUCUUUCAAGAGUGAUGUCGAUAUGCUUUAUUUGAGUCGACACUACAUCAAAAAUGAUCUUUAACUGUAAUUAAUUAAUGACAAUAGUUUAAUUGCAGCUAAAUAUAUUCUUUUAGCAGCAGUUAACACUCUUUGUAAAUGUCUCUAAAGCCUAUAGCGACAUUGGAUCCAAUGACAAUUAACUAAUGCCAAUAAAGGCUUUGUCACUCUUUGUUAAUGUGCAUAUUUAUUGUCGCUAAAAGUUUUUUUGUUGUAGUACGAGGGUAAGCUAAGGGCAGAUCUAGAGGAGGUGAGGGUGUUCACCCGAACCCCUUAAGUGAAAAAUUAUAUUGUAUAUACAAGAUAUUUUUUAUACAAAGUUUUUGGUGUGUAUUCAUAAAAUUUGAAUCCCCUAAAUACAAGAGUUGAGGUCGAGUUAGUGGUUUAGGGGUUCAAAAUUUACCUUGAGGUCCCAAAUUUAAAUUUCAGGCACUACCUUUUUAUUUUUUGAACACACUUAAUGAAAAUCCUAGAUCCACCACUGAUCUAAGAUCUAUCGAAAAUAACUUUUCUACCUUUAUAAGAUUUGUAGCCAUGUAGGGCAAGACUGCUUCAAACACACCACUCAUCUCAAACCCCACAUAUAAAAUUAUACUGAGUAUGUUAUUAUUGUUAUAGUAAUGAUGUUAUUGUUAUACUCCCUCAAUCCCAAUUUAUUUAGCACUUUUCUUUUUUCGAAAAUCAAUUUAAGCUUUAAAUUAAAAAUUAAAUUAAAUUUGAUCGACUCAAUAUUUUGAAUGUUUAAAUAUUGUACUAAAGAGUAAUAUGAAUUGCAUCUCUUCUCAUGCCAAUAUGAUGAAAAAAAUUAUAUUUUAAAAUAUUAAUCAAGAUUUAUUUACUUUGAAUAUGAAUAAACAUAAACAUAAUAUGUCAUAUAAUUUAAAGCGGAAAGAGUAAUAUUUUAUUUUAAUACACUUUGUUAACUCUUUAUUCUUUAAAAAAUAUUCUUUUCUUCUUUCAAGUGGAUAAAUAUAUUCAAGUUUUUCCUUUCUGCUAAAUUUUGUGCCAAAAUAGUUAAAGAUUAUUUCAUAAUUAUAUUUAUAACUAAUCUUUUUGGAUAAACAAUUAGAAAUGUAUUAAUUGUUUGUAUUAUUUUACAGGGAGUUAAAACAGGUUUUGCACUUGGGGACAGAUACCGGGGGAUGGUUCUGCUAAUUGUUAAUAUUCCUCAGAUGGGGUAUAUAUCUCUAAUUCAUAAUAAAAAAAUAAUUCCUCCGUUUGAAUUUAAUUGUCUAAUUUUAAUUUGAUAUAAAAUUUUAAAAAAUAAUAAUUUAUAGGUGAUAGUGACAUGUCACAAUAAAUUUUAAAAUGAGAAAAAAUAUCAAAAUAAAUAAAUAAAUGUAAUUAGAGGUGAUAGUAACUUGUCACAUCACCUUAUCUAUAUAUAAUUUUAUAUUAUAAACAAUAUAUAUAGAUUUUUUUUGAAUAUUGAUUUCACAACUUUCAGUAUGCACAAAGUUAGUAAUUAAUCAUAAGAAAGUUUAUAUCCAUUAUUCAUAGGAACUUAUACUGUAUCAUUUCAUUUAUAAUCAUUUAUUUAAAUUUUUGAUUUAAUUAUAUUGAUAUUAUUUUAAAAAAUAAUGUACUACAUGAUUUAGUGUUUUCUUUGUUUAUUAAAAAAAUAAACAAUAAAAUAAGUAGCAACUUUCCUCCACGGGAAUUAAAUCUAGGUGUUUUCUUUGUUUAUUAAAAAAAUAAACAAUAAAAUUAGGUGUUUUCUUUGUUUAUUAAAAAAAUAAACAAUAAAAUAAGUAGCAACUUUCCUCCACGGGAAUUAAAUCAUUGUUCUAUAAACAAUGUUGUUUGUCUGAAUUUAUGUAUAAUCAAAUCAUUCUAUAAACAGUGUUAUUUGUCUGAAUAUUUAUUGUACGUUAUAGCGAGAUGUUAUUCUAGCUAAAGAACAUAAUAUAUAUAUAUAUAUAUAUAUAUAUAUAUAUAUAUAUAGAGAUACUGUAUAUAUAUAUAUAUAUAUAUAUAUAUAUAUAAUGAAAUACUGUUAUAAAAAAUUGAUUAAAGCUAUAUAAUUUCAUUUUUUUUUUUUCAUUGUUAUAUAUAUAUUCACAAUUUUCCUUCCUUUUUUUAGUUCUAUAUGGGCAGAAAAGGAGAUCAAGUUUCUCAAUGAUUUGCGUAAAUUGUAUGAAGGCAAAAUAUCCUCCCCAUUUGAGAAGGGUAUAUCAUUUUUUUUACUUCUCUUUAAUUAUUGUUUCCUUCUAUUUAUUUUUUCUUCGGAAAAUAACAUAUUUUCAGCUUACUUAGGACAUGAUUAUAUAUAAAAAGUUACGGAGGUCGUGAAUUAGGAGGAUUGAUUAGAGUAUAUAUAUGUUUUCUCCUUUUAUUUAGUAGUAUUAGCAUCAAUCUUGCAGCUUCUAGUCCCUCAAUUUCUGUUACUACAUAUAUUAUUUAUUGUGUUUCAUUAUUAUUUUAUUUUAUUAUAGUUAUUGUUUCUUUUCUUUGUAUACUCUAGAAUGUUUCCUUAUUUUGCAAUGUUUUCAUUACUUCUAUAUGAUAUGUGUUGAUUGAGUCGAUGGUCUUUCAGUAACACAACCUCUUUAUCUACCUUCGUGAGAUUGAGGUAAAAUACACGUACAUUACAUCAUUUACAAGCCUCACUUAUAUAGAAUUCUGAUAGUCAUACUCAAUUAAUAAAAACAUAUACUAAUAAGCAUUUAGAUAGUUAUUCUCAACUAGUUUGAAACUAAAACGUAUUGUUAUAGUAGUAAUAUUUGCUUGAAUUUUUAUUUAUUUAUAAUUUCCAAUUGUCAUUCAAUUACCCAAAUAUUGUUUUUUCUUUUUAUUGGUGUGAACAUAUUUCACCUCCUUUUUUUUUUAUAUAGGAUUUGAGGUUCUAGGAUUUUUUUAUGACAUGGAAAAUCAUGAUCAUAAAAAAUCCUGGUUUUGGCGAGAAAAUCCUGAAAUUGAAGCAGAAAAAGAAAGAAUUCGUAGACUUGCCAAUUUUCCAAUUUUCGAAAAGGUAUAAUCAUAUGAUAUUCAAUAUUUAUUGAUUUGACUAAUUUAGUGUGUUCAACAUAAAAUUCAAAUCUAUUAAAAGAGGAAAACUCAUUAUCGAAGACAUUUCUUAUUCAUAUAUAACUCGAACUCGAAAUAUUUUAAUUAUAACUUCAACUUUCAUACCUUUUUUUUAUAAAAAAAAAAAAGAAGUUCCACUAUAUAUAUGCACUUAAUACAUAUGCGGCAAAUAUUUAAACAUUAUUAAAUUUUACACUCCGCAGAUGAAUAUUAUUUACACUCUCAACUUUAUUUUACAUCCCCUCCCUACCCCUUCUUAUCUUAUGCAAUGUCUAUUUUACCCUUAAUAUUUUCAAAACACAUACACAACCUCUCAAACUUGCUCUCAUUUUUCAUUUUGACACUCCAACUUAGCCUUGUUCCAUUUUAACCCUUAAACUCCAUUUUUUCUUUACCAUUUAAACACUUAUACUAAUUUUUUUGAUUUGUUUUUAUUUAUGUUCUUCAAUUGCAAUUUCUUAUUUUUAUACACCAAACACAUAUAGACGUGUACCUGUUAAUUAAAAAAAUUAAACAUUUGCGAACGAAUUUAAAAAUUUUCAAAUAAUAAUAUUAUUUUUUUAUAUUUCUCUGUAUUUUUGCAUGAAAAUAAAUUGACGAAAGUUCUUUGAUUUUCUUUCUUAAACAUUCAAUUAAAUUAAAUAACACUACUUAUUUAUUUUUUCUUAUCAUCUAGGCUAUCUAAAUUUAACGCAAAUACUCACUUUUAAUUUUUAAUAUAAAUCAAUACGAAUAAAAAAACCCAUCUUCAAAAAGGCUCUAUUGACUUAGUUAAUAACACUACUAAAAAAAGACUCUUGUUCAUUGCUAAUAACACUACUAAACAAUGUUAAAACUCGACUGACUUUGUUAGGUUGUCAGUGAUUUUAAAGAAAGAAAAUUCGUCGGUUAUUUUUCACACAAAAAUACAUAACACUCUUAAAAAGAAAUUAUUAUUUUUUAAAAAGAAUUAUUUUUUGUUAAUUUUUAAUUUUUUUAACUAACUAACACGUGUCGAUUUAAAAUAAGAAGUUGCAAUUGAAGAAUAUAUAUAAAGAAAUCAUAAAAAUAGUAUUUCGUGUUAAAAUGGUACAUAAAAAAUAGAGUUUAAGGGUUAAAAUGGAACAAGGCUAAGAUAAAGUGUCAAAAUGAAAAUUACGGACAAGUUAGAGGGGUUGUAUAUUGUUUGGCCAAAAAAUAAUAUGUAUAUUAUAUAUCAUAUAAAAAAUAUUUUUCGACCUAGGCAGUUUAGAUUUUUACCUAAGUUCAUAAAUAUUAUAAGUAGAAUAACCCUUUUACGAAUUUGUUGCAAAUUCUAACAUUAAUUUUUAUGAUUAUUAUUUUAAUAUUACAUGCAUUAAGAAUGUAUGUAUGUGCAUGCAUACUUGUGUGUAUAUUUAAGCUUCAUAGGAGAAUUGAUUUAGUAGGUUACUUAUAAUUUUUAAUUGGCCAAACACAUAUAUACAAACACUUAAACUUGUCCCUAAAUUUCAUUUUGACACUCCAACUCAGCCUUGUUCCAUUUUAACCCUUCAAUUCCAUUUUUUAUGUUCCAUUUUGACACUUAUUUUUUUAUAAGUGAUUAAAAAAGAUCUUAAUUCCUCAAAAAUAAAUAAAUUAUUUAUUUGAACAUUGAUGUCAUAUUUUACUUAUUUAACAGGUUGAAGUGAAUGACGAUCAUCAUGACAAUCUUUGGAGAUUUAUGAGGACAUCAAGAGGUAUCACAAAAAUCGGGGAAGAAUUUGAAAAAUUUCUAAUAGACGGAAAUGGAAUACCUAUAGAACACUUUUUUCGAUACGAUGGAGAAACACUAGAACCUCAACCCGUGAGACCAGGAGAAUACCCCGGUGAAUCAUUCACGUCAAAAGAAACCAACAUCAUAAAGGUACGUAUUUAUUUACUUUAUUAUUGAGUGGAGUAUUAUUAAUGUCAAAUCAAUAGAUAUUGAAUACAACUAAUUAAUUUAUUAUUAUUAAUGUCAAAGUUGACUUUUCUUUUUUCACCUAUUCACAGGCUACCAUUGAUGGAUUUCAUUGGAAGACACAAUCUCAAUAAUUAUUAAAUAUCUUACAUCAAAGUUAAUACUCAUAUUGUGUGCAACAUUUUACUUCGUAAAAGUAUUGUAAUACUUGAGAUUAUAAUAGUUAUAAAUAAAUAUUGUUGCUUGUUGUUUUACGUAUUUAUUCUUAUGUUUUACCUAAGCAUUGAAUCUUGAAAUUUUGAGAUUCAAACUUCUAAAUCUUGUCAGACAUAGAAGUUUUAAGAUUUUCAAAAUAAAAAUUUAUAUACUUGAAAACAAUAUGAAAAAAUACUAUAAAUCAUAAGUAAUAAUUAAUGACUUAAAAUACAUAUAAAGCGUGUAUAAAGAAAUUUAGGUAAAUAAAAACAAUGUGAUUGUCAUUCGAAAUUUCAAUUAUGUCAUAUAAAUUAGGAUGAAAAUUAUACACUCUAUAUGCAAUUACCCGCACCGAAUGUAUACACCAAACUAAUGCAAUUUUCAUUAUUACGUAAUUUAAUGAAGUAAAACACAUGUUAAUUCAUUAUGGUUAAGUAAAAUAAACUAUAAAUUUAAACACAUGACAUGCAUGUAUUGACUUUUGUGUAUACACCCGGUGCGGGUAAAUUUUACCCUACAAUGUAUCCACCUUAUAUGAGGAUGUAUAUGAAUGUAUAAGAGGUUCUUAUAGACAUUUUUUUGGGUUUCAGAAAUAGCCAUUAUAAUAAAUUUAAGAGCAACUUUCACAUAUAGCAAACAUAAAAAUUAUAUUUGUAUGUUAUAGCUAUAGUUUGCAUAAUUGCGCUCCAUAGCAAAUUUUAUGGUUACUAUUGAGCUUUUGAUUUGUAUAAUUCACUAGAUACAUCCAAUUUUAUAUAAAUUGUUCAGUUUUGUAUAAAUUCAUUUAUACAUUGUAAUUUGUAUAAUAAAAUCUGUAUUUGUAUAAUUAUAAGUGUAUAAGACGAAAAUAUAUGUAUUUGUAUUUGUAUAUACACUUUUCUCUCGCUUUAUACAAACACAAACGCGUUUUAUACAUUUUAUACUGAAAUGUAUAAAAUGGCUAAUUGUAUACCGAAUCAGAUGGCAAAAAAAUGGGAUGUUUGCUGCGAAUUACAAAUAAAAUAAACUAUAGCUAUAACAUUUAAUUUGAAUUAAUAAUUUGCUAUUUCAUAUAAUUUUUCCUAAAUUUAAUUAUGCUCCAUAGGUAUAGUUGCAUAUUUACGGGUUGUAGCUAUAGUUAAAACUGUAUCGUUUGUAUAAUUCGCGGGUACAUUUGUAUAAUUGAGGCUUGAACUAUUUUUGUAUAAACUCAAAAUAACGAAUUUAUACAAACACAAACAUCUGAACUUUAAACAAUUAUACAAAUUAUACAAACUCAAAAUAUCAGCCCACAUAAUUAUCACUGAAUGUUAGUUGUGAGUGGUAAUUAACUAAUUUUUUUUUUAGCCCGUCUAAAAAAACACAUAACCGAAAAAAUAAAUAAGAGUUGAGGGGUAUUUUUUACUUUUUUUUUUUUUUUUUUUUUUUUUUUCUUUUUUUUUUUUUUUUAUAUUUUUUUUUUUUUUUUUUAUAUUUUUUUUUUUUUUUAUAUUUUUUUUUUUUUUUUAUAUUUUUUUUUUUUUUUUAUAUUUUUUUUUUUUUUUCUUUUUUUUUUUUUUUCUUUUUUUUUUUUUUUUAUAUUUUUUUUUUUUUUUCUUUUUUUUUUUUUUUUAUAUUUUUUUUUUUUUUUCUUUUUUUUUUUUUUUUCUUUUUUUUUUUUUUUUAUAUUUUUUUUUUUUUUUUUCUUUUUUUUUUUUUUUUUUUCUUUUUUUUUUUUUUUAUAUUUUUUUUUUUUU
rnacentral:lncRNA from 1 species